UCUUUCUGUCAAAGCAUUGCCUCCUAAGAACCUUUGUAAAAGUGCCAAAGUACCUACUCUCUUACUCUUAAGUUGAAGACCAGGUUAUUAGAAACCCAGAGAACAUUUUGCUACUCACUUGACUAAUAGGGAAAAAAGAAAAAUAUAUCUUCCCUACACAUUAAAGGAAACAAUAGUUUCUAUUGGGGAACUACUCCUAUUUCCUUGUAGAGAGGCAAGCAUCUGAAUAGAUUCUGAAGCAUCCUGCAUGGGAUGAAGUAAUUCUUCAGUGUUCUUUAUGGGAUGGGCUGAAAAGUGUGAACUACAGCAGCCAUAAAGGGAGGAACACUUCCCUCAAAUUGGCUUCAACUGCAGAAGAUAGUAUGGAAAGAAUGUGAAAGAAAGAACAUCUGCUUCCGGUCUGCCCUUUUAGCACUGAAAUGAAAUUCACCAGCGUACAAUGAACCAUUUUCUAGUUUGCAGUUCAGUAGCAUUUAGCGCAGUCUUAAUAUUAUGCUCCAACCACCUGUCUCUAGUUUCAAAACAUUUUUAUCUUCCCAGGAAAAUCUCCGUCUCCUUCCAGGAAUCACUCUUCACCCCCUCCCUCAGCCCGCUGGUGACCACUAAUCUGCUUUCCGUCUAUGGAUUUGCCUGUUCUGGGACGUGUCAUAAAAAAGAUGAAUGCCAGAUUGUGACCUUUUGUGUGUGGCUUCUUUUACUUAGCAUAAUAUUUAGAGGUUCAUUCAAGUUGUAACUUAGAUCAGAACUUCAUUCCUUUUUCAUGGCUGAAUGAUAUUCCAUGAAACUUAAGUUUAUAGAACUCUUCAUGGAGCUUACACAAAAAUUUUGGAGCUUAUGCACGCAAAGAAAAGACUUUUAGGUACCUUCUUCAGAGUUGCCUUUUAUGGCCCAUCUUUUUUGAAGAAGAGGACUGAAAGGAGUACAUCUAUAAAGAGCCAAAGCUCAUCAGCCUCUCAGAGAUUUUCCUGAGACUUGUUAAACUUUAUGGUAAAAAAUUUGGUACAGAGAAUGUCAAAAUAAUUCAGGAUUCAGACAAGGAAGUUCAUCCAAGCAUGCAGCAUUGCACUGGAACUAAAUGAAUGGUUAAUGAAAGAGGAUCAGAUUGAAUACCAUGAAGAGCUCACGUCAAAUUUCGAAGACAUGGUGAAAGAAUUGUCUGACGUUAUUUAUGAUCAGGCAAGUAUUAGAGUGAAUGAAAA